AUGACAAGAUGCAACACGCAAGCAAAUGACAAGGCAACACCAGCGAAUAACUGGACGACACCUGGCGCAACGGUCUCGGGGCGUCACAUUAGCGGUCUUGCCGCCUUUCCCAUGUUGACGCUUGUAAUAAGGGUUAGGGCAACUAGGAGCCCAAUGAUCAGGAUCUCCGCACACAUGACAAAUUCCUUUCUUGUCAGUCUUCUUCUUGAAGUUGGUGUGCUGCGAAGCAUUGUUCUUCCCAUCAAACUUCCCUUUACCAUCAAACUUGCCCUUGUUCUUGAACUUGUGGGGCUGAAAGUUUUUCUUCUGUACCAGAUUGGCAGUAGAACCUCCCUCAAUACCUCGAGCACGUAUGUCUUUUGCUCUCGCCUUUUCUUCCACAUCAAGAGUACCAAUGAGAUCCGUGUCAGGACCCCGACUCGAUGUCACAUUGAUCUAGCCGGUAACACCUCAUAUCACUUUGCGGCCUCACGCACGGUAUCCCCACGGGUGUCGCCUUACCUUUGCCCGGGACCGUUUGCGCCUUUUGGCUCACGUAUAUGA
rnacentral:rRNA from 1 species